rnacentral:sRNA from 1 species
GCCAGGUGUGGCGGUGUGCGCCUGUAGUCCCAGCUACUUGGGAGGCCGAGGCAGGAGAAUCGCUUGAACCCAGGAGGCGGAGGUUGCAGUGAGCUGAGAUCGUGCCACUGCACUCCAGCCUGGGCAACAGAGUGAGACCCUGUCUCAA